CGGGUGGCGACCGGCGCACGGGUGAGUAACGCGUAUGCAACUUGCCUAUCAGAGGGGGAUAACCCGGCGAAAGUCGGACUAAUACCGCAUGAAGCAGGGGCCCCGCAUGGGGAUAUUUGCUAAAGAUUCAUCGCUGAUAGAUAGGCAUGCGUUCCAUUAGGCAGUUGGCGGGGUAACGGCCCACCAAACCGACGAUGGAUAGGGGUUCUGAGAGGAAGGUCCCCCACAUUGGUACUGAGACACGGACCAAACUCCUACGGGAGGCAGCAGUGAGGAAUAUUGGUCAAUGGGCGUAAGCCUGAACCAGCCAAGUCGCGUGAGGGAUGAAGGUUCUAUGGAUCGUAAACCUCUUUUAUAAGGGAAUAAAGUGCGGGACGUGUCCCGUUUUGUAUGUACCUUAUGAAUAAGGAUCGGCUAACUCCGUGCCAGCAGCCGCGGUAAUACGGAGGAUCCGAGCGUUAUCCGGAUUUAUUGGGUUUAAAGGGUGCGUAGGCGGCCUUUUAAGUCAGCGGUGAAAGUCUGUGGCUCAACCAUAGAAUUGCCGUUGAAACUGGGGGGCUUGAGUAUGUUUGAGGCAGGCGGAAUGCGUGGUGUAGCGGUGAAAUGCUUAGAUAUCACGCAGAACCCCGAUUGCGAAGGCAGCCUGCCAAGCCAUGACUGACGCUGAUGCACGAAAGCGUGGGGAUCAAACAGGAUUAGAUACCCUGGUAGUCCACGCAGUAAACGAUGAUCACUAGCUGUUUGCGAUACACAGUAAGCGGCACA
rnacentral:rRNA from 1 species